UUUUAUGGAGAGUUUGAUCCUGGCUCAGGAUGAACGCUGGCGGCGUGCCUAAUACAUGCAAGUCGAGCGAACGGACGAGAAGCUUGCUUCUCUGAUGUUAGCGGCGGACGGGUGAGUAACACGUGGAUAACCUACCUAUAAGACUGGGAUAACUUCGGGAAACCGGAGCUAAUACCGGAUAAUAUUUUGAACCGCAUGGUUCAAAAGUGAAAGACGGUCUUGCUGUCACUUAUAGAUGGAUCCGCGCUGCAUUAGCUAGUUGGUAAGGUAACGGCUUACCAAGGCAACGAUGCAUAGCCGACCUGAGAGGGUGAUCGGCCACACUGGAACUGAGACACGGUCCAGACUCCUACGGGAGGCAGCAGUAGGGAAUCUUCCG
rnacentral:rRNA from 1 species